UUUUAUUGUCCCAAUGGCCUUUAAUUACACAUGUAGGCUAAAUUGUUAUACGACUGCAAUUCACCUAUCAUGCAGCUCGUGAUAAGCACACAAGUUAAAGUUGAGACUUAAAAGUUGUUCGGUUUGUUAAUGUUCAGCUCAGCUCCUGAUAGCAAGAUAUUCCAGUCAGUGUGUACCUGUCCCGGGACAUCUCCUGCCCCAUGAGAGGAAAUGCUAUGUUCUGUUGUUGUCGAAAACAUUUGAAACGUGAGUUAUCUGACUGAAAUAAAUAUUCAGUAAAUAUACUGUAAAUUUCCUUUGGGAUGAAUGAAGUAUCGAUCUAUUUAUACAGUGAAAACUCCAAAAUCCAGAUCUGCAACACACAGGAAACAAAGUGAGCACACCAACGACCAAAAGGACAAAUAUUUUUUUUGAGGGACUUCGAUAACUGCACUCCGAGUGGAGCUGAGUUGUUGACACACACAACAGGCGCCCCGCCAUCUCUUGUUGCUGUUGUUGCUGCUGUUGCUGCCCUAGCCUUGUCUACAGUGAAUUAUUACACAAAAGAUGAGAAAAUGGACAAAGCAGAGACAAAUCCACUGUUACAACAGUCACAGAAGGAAAAAGAAAAUGUGCCCAAUAUAUUGAUGGAGAAGAAUCCCACAAAGCUGAGCAUGACAGAUGGACUGUUCUUUGAACCUGCAUUCAUUGUCGUCAGUGGAUCAAUGACCCUUGACACCGUCUUCAUCCUUCUGCUUAGACACACGUGGGGAGCUGAUUUGGUUGAAUCCAUUUCCACAGUGUGUCACCACAUGAGCCUGGGUGGUGUCCUGGUUGAUAUGGCUUUAAGUUUUAUUCUAGCUGCUUAUGCCAAGUACAGAUGGAAACGUAAGUCACAGUUCUAUUUAUCUAUCCCAGUUUUAUUAUAUAUCUUAUUUGUGUUAUAUGUCUUUUUUUAUAUGUUGUUUAAGUUAUGUUUUGUUAUGUGUGGACCCCAGGAAGAGUUUUAGUGCUAUUUUACUGGGAGCUAAUGGGGAUCCGAAUUUCAUAUCCAAUAAAGGCUUGACUGUAACUGCUGUGCCGAUGAAGAAAAGUAAAUAGUGUUACGCAGCAUUAUUUACAUGUAUACGUUAUAAAAACUAACCAAGGGUUAAUCAUUUAAAA